UACGUAGGGCGCAAGCGUUGUCCGGAAUUAUUGGGCGUAAAGAGCUCGUAGGCGGCCUGUUACGUCUGCUGUGAAAUCCCGGGGCUUAACCCCGGGCGUGCAGUGGAUACGGGCAGGCUGGAGGCAGGCAGGGGAGAACGGAAUUCCCGGUGUAGCGGUGAAAUGCGCAGAUAUCGGGAGGAACACCGGUGGCGAAGGCGGCUCACUGGCUCAUUACUGACGCUCAGGCGCGACAGCGUGGGGAUCAAACAGG
rnacentral:rRNA from 1 species